ACUGUCAUUAUGACUGAUAAUAGUUAUAAUAACUCACAUUUUCAUAAACUCUAGGCUAUGAAGGAAGAAAACAGAAGAAGCAGUGCCAAGCUCUUGAAGCCUCCAAGGCUAAUAAAAGAAUUAAAACUGCAUGAUCAUCUAAAGACAAAGGGGACAGAUUCGACCAUGGCACAACUAUUACUCAGUGAGCACAAAUGUUAAGGAGGCAAAGGCCUGACUCUUUUCUGGAAUGAGGAGGCACUUGGGAAAGAAACAUUAACUAGCAC
rnacentral:lncRNA from 1 species